GCGCCAGUGGUGUAAUGGCGUAGAGCAUUCCCGCCGGGGUGAGAGGGAGGUGCGGGUUCGAGUCUCGCCUGGCGCU
rnacentral:tRNA from 1 species